rnacentral:rRNA from 1 species
UGAACGGCCACAUUGGGACUGAGACACGGCCCAGACUCCUACGGGAGGCAGCAGUGGGGAAUAUUGCACAAUGGGGGAAACCCUGAUGCAGCGACGCCGCGUGGAGGAAGAAGGUCUUCGGAUUGUAAACUCCUGUUGUUGAGGAAGAUAAUGACGGUACUCAACAAGGAAGUGACGGCUAACUACGUGCCAGCAGCCGCGGUAAAACGUAGGUCACAAGCGUUGUCCGGAAUUACUGGGUGUAAAGGGAGCGCAGGCGGGAGAACAAGUUGGAAGUGAAAUCCAUGGGCUCAACCCAUGAACUGCUUUCAAAACUGUUUUUCUUGAGUAGUGCAGAGGUAGGCGGAAUUCCCGGUGUAGCGGUGGAAUGCGUAGAUAUCGGGAGGAACACCAGUGGCGAAGGCGGCCUACUGGGCACCAACUGACGCUGAGGCUCGAAAGUGUGGGUAGCAAACAGGAUUAGAUACCCUGGUAGUCCACACCGUAAACGAUGAUUACUAGGUGUUGGAGGAUUGACCCCUUCAGUGCCGCAGUUAACACAAUAAGUAAUCCACCUGGGGAGUACGACCGCAAGGUUGAAACUCAAAGGAAUUGACGGGGGCCCGCACAAGCAGUGGAGUAUGUGGUUUAAUUCGACGCAACGCGAAGAACCUUACCAAGUCUUGACAUCCUGCGACGCACAUAGAAAUAUGUGUUUCCUUCGGGACGCAGAGACAGGUGGUGCAUGGUUGUCGUCAGCUCGUGUCGUGAGAUGUUGGGUUAAGUCCCGCAACGAGCGCAACCCUUAU